UCCGGUUUGACACCGGCAGUCUCGUUAGAGUCCCCGCCAUGACGCGCUGGUAACUAACGAUAGGGGUUUCGCUCGUUGAGGGACUUAACCCGACACUUCACAGCACGAGCUGACGACAGCCAUGCAGCACCUGUGCACGUUCCACUCAGAGAGUGUCACUCGCCUUUCAGCGAGCUAAUCCGUGCAUGUCAAGCCUUGGAUAAGGUUCUUCGCGUUGCUUCGAAUUGAGCCACAUGCUCCACCGCUUGUGUGAGCCCCCGUCAAUUUCUUUGAGUUUUAGUCUUGCGACCGUACUCCCCAGGCGGUGCACUUAACACUUUAGCUUCGAUCAUGAUGGCGUCAGAGCCUCCACGAUCUAGUGCACAUCGUUUAGGGCGUGGACUAC
rnacentral:misc_RNA from 1 species